GCUGCAGGAAACGGUGCGGCAGGAAGGCGGACGCACCGCGGGGGCUGAAAGCUGUCCCGGUCACUCGUGACUUCCCGCCCGCCGCGGUCCUUGCGGAGCCCUCGCCUGGUUCCCGCCCCUGGCGUGACGUUUCACCCCUGGGGAAACUGAGGCUCGCGUCCUUGUCUCCACCUCGCGUUGAACGAAGCGGGGGCAGGGAGCAAAUAGAAACCAGCUUAUAGGGCAUCAACUCCAACUCUUUAAAUACAAAGUAUGCGUAUGAAGACUGGGAAAAUGCAUCUGUUAUUCCGAGGGCAGUGAGUUUAUAGCUGAUACUCUUCAACAAAUUUCAGUAGUUUCCAUAUGUGUUCCAAAAUUAACCUGCAUUAAUCAGAAGCAAGUGCUUGAAAUGAUAAUUACACAGAAUAGAAAAAGGCCUGUGAUUCACUGGGGGAGCCCUGACCUGCCCGUGUUCCUCCCCAGAGGUGGCACCAAAAUUGUGAUCUGCACCCUGGGUCAACCAAAAACCCUGUGGACAAGAAAGGACAGCUUGUGGGGAGGCACUGGCUGAUGUGAUGUAGAGAAAGUCUGCUGGGCAGCCAGGGAGCAUACCGAGAAGACAAAGACAACUUCCAGACAAGAUUUUCCUUCAUGAUUAAAGGAUAAGAUUUCAUUCCUGCUCACUCCACUGUGAUGAAAACUAAGCUCCAAUUAGUUUGAUGGCUAAAACCAGCCCAACAGCCGAAAGAGUCUUGAAAGGAAAUCAGAUUUUAGAGAAAGCAAAGUGAGAUUUACUUGGAACUAUAUUCUGUUAUUUUUUAAAACAAAUGUCUGUUUAUUAAUGUUCGGAACGCUGGAAUUACAACACGAGGAAAGA